rnacentral:rRNA from 1 species
AGACCGUUCUCUUUCGAGGCCGGUCAUCGGAAUGGGUACAAUUUAAACCCUUUAACGAGUAUCUAUGAGAGGGCAAGUCUGGUGCCAGCAGCCGCGGUAAUUCCAGCUCUCAAAGUGCAUAGAAUUAUUGCUGCGGUUAAAAAGCUCGUAGUUGGAUCUGUGCCAUAGGACGGGGUCCACCUUCGGGUGCGUACUCCGCUCCUAGGCUUUUUGCUGGUUUUCCCGUCGUAGCCUUCACUGGUUGCGGCGGGUGGCUGGCGAGUUUACUUUGAGAAAAUCAGAGUGCUCAAUACAGGCGUCUAGCUUGAAUGAUUGUGCAUGGAAUAAUAGAAAAGGAUUUCGGUCCUCUUUUAUUGGUUUUGUGGACUGAGAUAAUGGUUAACAGGGACAAACGGGGGCAUUCGUAUCGCUGCGUGAGAGGUGAAAUUCUUGGACCGUAGCGAGACGCCCUACUGCGAAAGCAUUUGCCAAGAAUGUCUUCAUUAAUCAAGAACGAAAGUCAGAGGUUCGAAGGCGAUCAGAUACCGCCCUAGUUCUGACCGUAAACGAUGCCAACUAGCGAUCCGCCGGUGGAUUUUUAGCCCUGGUGGGUAGCUUCCCGGAAACGAAAGUCUUCCGGUUCCGGGGGAAGUAUGGUUGCAAAGCUGAAACUUAAAGGAAUUGACGGAAGGGCACCACCAGGAGUGGAGCCUGCGGCUUAAUUUGACCCAACACGGGGAAGCUCACCCGGCCCGGGCACCGUAAGGAUUGACAGAUUGAUAGCUCUUUCAUGAUUCGGUGGUUGGUGGUGCAUGGCCGUUCUUAGUUCGUGGAUCGAUUUGUCUGGUUUAUUCCGAUAACGAGCGAGACUCUAGCCUACUAAAUAGUAACGAGAUUGCCAUUGUCUUAGUUGCUUCUUAGAGGGAUUUUCGGUGUUUAGCCGCACGAGAUUGAGCAAUAACAGGUCUGUGAUGCCCUUAGAUGUCCGGGGCUGCACGCGCGCUACACUGGCGAAAUCAGCGUGCUGUAUCCAUUCUCGAAAGAGAUUGGUAAACCCAUGAAAAUUUGCCGUGCCUGGGAUCGGAAAUUGCAAUUAUUUUCCGUGAACGAGGAAUUCCAAGUAAGUGCGAGUCAUCAACUCGCUCUGAUUACGUCCCUGCCCUUUGUACACACCGCCCGUCGCUGCCCGGGACUGAGCCAUUUCGAGAAGAUCAGGGACCGGUGGGCUGUGGCCUCUUCGGAGGUUCGGUCCGUUGGAAACUGAUUUGAUCGCAGUGGCUUGAACCGGGCAAAAGUCGUAACAAGGUAGCCGUAGGUGAACCUGCGGCUG